GGCCGGUUAGCUUAGUUGGUUAAAACAUGGUGCUGAUAACACCAAGAUCAAGGGUUCGGAUCCCCUUACUGGCCA